GACGAACGCUGGCGGCAUGCCUAACACAUGCAAGUCGAACGAGACCGUCGGGUCUAGGGGCGCACGGCGGGGUGCGGCGGGGUAACCUGCCCUUGGGUUCGCUGUAACUCCCCUUGGGGUAUGCUAAUAACAGUUAAGCUCUUACGACCUAAGAUUUAUUGCCUUUGGAUGGGCGCGGGUUGGAUUAGGUAGUUGGUAGGGUAAAAGCCUACCAAGGCGUGGAUGCAUAGCUGGUCGGAGAGGAUGAUCAGCCACACUGGGACUGAGACCCGGCCCAGACUCGGACGGGAGGCAGCAGUGGGGAAUAUUGGAGAAGGGGCGAAAGCCUGAUCCAGCAAUGCCGCGUGAGUGAUGAAGGCCUUAGGGUUGUAAAGCUCUUUUACCCGGGAUGAUAAUGACAGUAACGGGAGAAUAAGCGCCGGCUAACUCCGUG
rnacentral:rRNA from 1 species